rnacentral:ncRNA from 1 species
UUAAAAUAUUAGCAAAAUUAGCGAAAGCUAAUGACGCAAAGUUAUGGGUCUAAGAUAUUUUGUAUUAUGAUUGCCAGACUGCACAU